rnacentral:rRNA from 1 species
GACGAACGCUGGCGGCGUGCUUAACACAUGCAAGUCGAACGGAAAGGCCCCUUUGGGGGUACUCGAGUGGCGAACGGGUGAGUAACACGUGAGUAACCUGCCCUUGACUUCGGGAUAACUUCAGGAAACUGGGGCUAAUACCGGAUAGGAAUCCUUGCUGCAUGGUGGGGGUUGGAAAGCUUCGGCGGGUAUGGAUGGACUCGCGGGUUAUCAGCUUGUUGGUGGGGUAGUGGCUUACCAAGGCGUUGACGGGUAGCCGGCCUGAGAGGGCGACCGGCCACAUUGGGACUGAGAGGAGGCACAGGCUCCGAAGGGAGGAAGAAGUGGGGAAUAUUGCACAAGGGGCGGAAGGCUGAUGCAGAAACGCCGCGUGCGGGAUGACGGCCUUCGGGUUGUAAACCGCUUUCAGCAGGGGCGAAGCUUGUGGUGACGGUACCUGCAGAAGAAGCACCGGCUAACUACGUG